rnacentral:rRNA from 1 species
UAUCUAAGUAACCAGAGGAAAAGAAAUCAACCGAGAUUCCGUAAGUAGCGACGAGCGAACGCGGACUAGCCCUUAAGCUGAUUUGGUUCUAGGAAAACGCUCUGGAAAGAGCGGCCAUAGAAGGUGAUAGCCCUGUAUCUGAAAGGGCCAUUCCAGUGAAGACGAGUAGGGCGGGGCACGUGAAACCCUGUCUGAACAUGGGGGGACCAUCCUCCAAGGCUAAAUACUACUGACCGACCGAUAGUGAACCAGUACCGUGAGGGAAAGGCGAAAAGAACCCCGGAGAGGGGAGUGAAAUAGAACCUGAAACCGUGUGCGUACAAGCAGUAGGAGCUCCGCAAGGAGUGACUGCGUACCUUUUGUAUAAUGGGUCAGCGACUUACUGUUCGUGGCAAGCUUAACCGUAUAGGGGAGGCGAAGGGAAACCGAGUCUGAUAAGGGCGCAUAGUCGCGGGCAGUAGACCCG